AUCAUAGUCUGAGACCCCGAAACUAGACGAGCUACUCCGAAGCAGUCUAAAAGGACUAACCCGUCUCUGUGGCAAAAGAGUGGGAAGACUUCCGAGUAGAGGUGAAAAGCCUACCGAGCCUAGUUAUAGCUGGUUGCUUAAGAAAAGAAUAUGAGUUCAGCCUUAUAAGUUUCUCAAAAAUCAAAAUGAAAGAAUAAAGUAACACAUAAGAGUUAGUCGAAGGGGGUACAGCUCCUUCGAAAAAGAACACAACCUUACCCAGGUAAAUAAGGAUUAUACUAAAAAAGGACAUGACUUUCAACAGUGGGCCCGAAAGCAGCCACCUCUAAUAGAAAGCGUUAAAGCUCAAGAACAGCCACACCAAAAAUAAAAAUAACCACUCCUAAUUUCCUAAUAAUAUUAAGCUACCCUAUUUUAUAGGAGAAAUUAUGCUAAAAUGAGUAAUAAGAGAAACUAGACCCUCUCCGGGCACACGUGUAAAUUAGAGCGGACAAACCACUGACAACUAACGGACCCAAAAAAGAGGGUAAAACAACAAAACUCAAUAAACAAGAAAAACCUAUUAAAACAACCGUUAACCCAACACAGGAGUGCCACUUAAGGAAAGACUAAAAGGGGAAGAAGGAACUCGGCAAACACAAACCUCGCCUGUUUACCAAAAACACCGCCUCCUGCAAAUAGAAUGUAUUGGAGGUCCUGCCUGCCCAGUGACAAUAGGUUCAACGGCCGCGGUAUUUUGACCGUGCAAAGGUAGCGUAAUCACCUGUCUUUUAAAUAAAGACCUGUAUGAAUGGCAAGACGAGGGUUUUACUGUCUCCUCCCCCCAGUCAAUGAAAUUGAUCUACCCGUGCAGAAGCGGGUAUAAAAACAUAAGACGAGAAGACCCUAUGGAGCUUUAGGCACACAUCAAAUAUGUAAAAAACCAAAUCUUCCAAAUAGGCCUAAAAAAUGAGAAAAACAAGUAUUAAUGAUUAAUUGCCUUCGGUUGGGGCGACCACGGGGAAAAAUAAAACCCCCACAUGGAAUGGGUAAAAUUAUCCUAAGCCAAGAAAAACAAUUCUAAGCAACAAAAUUUUUGACCAAUAAACGACCCAGGGACAACAUCCCUGAGCAAUGAACCAAGUUACCCUAGGGAUAACAGCGCAAUCCUUUCCCAGAGCCCAUAUCAACGAAAGGGUUUACGACCUCGAUGUUGGAUCAGGGCAUCCUAACGGUGCAGCCGCUGUUAAGGGUUCGUUUGUUCAACGAUUAAUAGCCC
rnacentral:rRNA from 1 species